rnacentral:rRNA from 1 species
CCUACGGGGUGCAGCAGUGAGGAAUAUUGGUCAAUGGGCGCGAGCCUGAACCAGCCAAGCAGCGUGAAGGAGGACUGCCCUACGGCUUGUAAACUUCUUUUAUCAAGGAAUAAAGUGAGGCACGUGUGCCUUUUUGUAUGUACUUUAUGAAUAAGGAUCGGCUAACUCCGUGCCAGCAGCAGCGGUAAUACGGAGGAUCCGAGCGUUAUCCGGAUUUAUUGGGUUUAAAGGGGGCGUAGAGGGGUUGUUAAGUCAGGUGUGAAAGUUUGCGGCUCAACCGUAAGAUUGCAAUUGAUACUGGCAGCCUUGAGUGCAGUUGAGGUAGGCGGAAUUCGUGGUGUAGCGGUGAAAUGCUUAGAUAUCACGAAGAACUCCGAUUGCGAAGGCAGCUUACUAACCUGCCACUGACGUUGAGGCUCGAAAGUGUGGGUAUCAAACAGGAUUAGAUACCCGAGUAGUC